AAAAGCACCGAAGCGGUCAAGAUGAAGGGGCUUGCUCUGGCGAUCAUGCUGUUGAGCGUUUACUGUCUGGAAGGUAUGAUAAGAUAAAAGCCUGCCACAACUCACAAGCGAGGCCUCUGAAAAAAAGGGGACGAUGAUCCCCAUGUGUGCUUAUGAAUGGACACACAAUAAACGAUAAAGCACCAGGGCCUCCCUAUCUGCGGGAUCCAUAUCCGCUGAUUUCCCCGAUCCAUCGGCUGCAAAUUUGAAACAACCCCUCAAAAUACCCAUUUAGAUUUAUUUCAAGGGUGUAUUUUCCAGAACUGGUCACUAGAGGGAGCCAGAGAUCAUGAAAGAUAGUGAUCCAAUAAUAAUAAUAAUAAUAAUAAUAAUAAUAAUAAUAAUAAUAAUAAUAAUAAUAAUAAUAAUAAUGAAUGAAUGAAUGAAUGAAUGAAUGAAUGAAUGAAUGAAUGAAUAACAACAACAACAACAGAGGGAAAACUCAGGAUCUGAAGAAUGCAUUCCGAAACCCGCGUUUAGGCAAAAGAAAUCUCUCAAGAUCCACCUGAACUUGGGAGCAGGGCUCUCCUCACCUUCCCUUCCUUCCUUCCACCUUCCAGGCGCCGUGGUGGAACAGAAGCCCGAAGGCGAAGCACCGCCCCAGGUCCCUGACAUUACGGGGGCUUUGCAAGAGUACGCCCAGGUCCUCUCUCAAUAUUUCACCAGAGAGGUGGUGCCCCAGGAGAGGUUUGAGCAGCUACGAACCCAAGCCCAGGCAUUUGCUCAGCAGACCCUGAAACCUAUAACUGACCAAAUGACCGAGACGUUCAGCCAGUUUCUAGAGUCUGUAAAGGAAUCGGUGAUGAAAGCUGCCACAUAAAAAGUCUCUUCUUUAAUGAGUCCUCCAGCCCAAGCCCUGGAAGAAAAGCUUUGACAAGCAAGCACCUUGUUAUAACACGAAGACGGGUUUCAAAUCUCUAUCAGGCUGCAAUAAAGACAAAGCAAAUUUUAUCCUGCA
rnacentral:lncRNA from 1 species